CCUACGGGUGGCAGCAGUGAGGAAUAUUGGUCAAUGGGCGCGAGCCUGAACCAGCCAAGUAGCGUGAAGGAUGACUGCCCUACGGGUUGUAACCUUCUUUUAUAAAGGAAUACAGUGAGGCACGUGUGCCUUUUUGUAUGUACUUUAUGAAUAAGGAUCGGCUAACCUCGUGCCAGCAGCCGCGGUAAUCCGGAGGAUCCGAGCGUUAUCCGGAUUUAAUGGGUUUAAAGGUAGCGUAGAUGAGUUGUUAAGUCAGUUGUGAAGGUCUGCGGCUCAACCGUAAAAUUGCAAUUGAUACUGGCAGCCUUGAGUGCAGUUGAGGUAGGCGGAAUUCGUGGUGUAGCGGUGAAAUGCUUAGAUAUCACGAAGAACUCCGAUUGCGAAGGCAGCCUACUAAACUGCCACUGACAUUGAUGCUCGAAAGUGUGGGUAUCAAACAGGAUUAGAUACCCCAGUAGUC
rnacentral:rRNA from 1 species